rnacentral:rRNA from 1 species
GAUCCUGGCUCAGGAUGAACGCUAGCUACAGGCUUAACACAUGCAAGUCGAGGGGCAUCAGUUUGGUUUGCUUGCAAACCAAAGCUGGCGACCGGCGCACGGGUGGGUAACACGUAUCCAACCUACCUCAUACUCGGGGAUAGCCUUUCGAAAGAAAGAUUAAUAUCCGAUAGCAUAUAUUUCCCGCAUGGGUUUUAUAUUAAAGAAAUUCGGUAUGAGAUGGGGAUGCGUUCCAUUAGUUUGUUGGGGGGGUAACCGG